rnacentral:lncRNA from 1 species
ACCAAAGCUUACUGGCGGCGGUGCUCUCGGGUGCGGCGGCUCUCCGGCGAGGUUCGUGUUUUGGUGAUUUGGCUCCAAUCAACCUGUAGAGAAAAGAAUGGUGAUCACGGUGAUAUAAAAAUUGUAUCAAACGGAGGCCGAGAAGGGCCUCAUCGGAGGCAAAAACUGAGGAGGGGCGCGGCGGUGCCGCUGGGUUUCGGCCGUGUUUUUCGGCCGUUUGGCCAGGAUUUUGGCUCCGAUUUGGCCACAGGGGAACUCAGCGUUGAAAAAUGAGCCGGGGGUAUGAAAUUUACCUCGAUCGGCGGUCGAAAAACUCCCCGGUGUGGCGGCGGGUGGCGGCGACCGGCUCCUCCGGCGUCUGGUUCGUCUUCUCCGGCGAGGGUAGGCAGGUAGGGUUUUUGUGGUCAGGUGUGGGGGUUCUAUUUAUACUCUUUUGCCUUUUGAUCACAACCGUCCAUUUUGAUUAAAUCUGGGCCGUCCGUGCUU